rnacentral:misc_RNA from 1 species
UCCUGGUUUCCCAGGCAGUCCCACCAGAGUGCUUUGUUUCCAAAUAGCAACUGAUGGCAAGGGUUGCGCUCGUUAAAGGACUUAACCCAACAUCUCACGACACGAGCUGACGACAGCCAUGCAGCACCUGUGCAAUUGUCCGAACCGAAGCUCGGAAGACCGUAUUUCUACAGCUGUCAAAAACAUGUCAAGUCCAGGUAAGGUUCCUCGCGUAGUGUCGAAUUAAACCACAUGUUCCACCGCUUGUGCGGACCCCCGUCAAUUCCUUUGAGUUUUAAUCUUGCGACCGUACUCCCCAGGCGAAUCACUUAACGCGUUAGCUUCGACACCAAUCCAGCAAAGCCGGACUGACAUCCAGUGAUUAUCGUUUACAGCGUGGACUAC